rnacentral:rRNA from 1 species
CGUCUAGGCUACGAGGACACGCUGGCGGCGUGCCUAAUACAUGGCAAGUCGAGCGAAGUUUUUCUGGUGCUUGACACCGGAAAAACUUAGCGGCGAACGGGUGAGUAAACACGUAAAGAACCUGCCUCAUAGACUGGGACAACUAUUGGAAACGAUAGCUAAUACCGGAUAACAGCAUUAACUGCAUGGUUGAUGUUUGAAAGUUGGUUUUGCUAACACUAUGAGAUGGCUUUGCGGUGCAUUAGCUAGUUGGUGGGGUAAAGGCCUACCAAGGCGACGAUGCAUAGCCGACCUGAGAGGGUGAUCGGCCACACUGGGACUGAGACACGGCCCAGACUCCUACGGGAGGCAGCAGUAGGGAAUCUUCCGCAAUGGGCGAAAGCCUGACGGAGCAACGCCGCGUGAGUGAAGAAGGAUUUCGGUUCGUAAAGCUCUGUUGUUAGGGAAGAAUAAUUGUGUAGUAACUAUACACAGUAGAGACGGUACCUAACCAGAAAGCCACGGCUAACUACGUG